GAUGGAACGUUUACGAAGGAAUCGACAAUUAGAAGGAUCAAAUUUGGAAUAUUUAAAAAAUGUGGUUCUAAGUUUUUUAUUAUCAAAGGAUACUGAAUGCAAGAAACAUAUGACCAAUGCAAUAGCUGCAGUUUUAAAGUUCGAUGAAUAUGAAGUGAAAGCCGUAAAUAAUAUCAACUAUUGAUUAUGCUGUUAAGGGAAAGCGGGGCAAAAUGGGGAUGUUAAGCAGUUUACUGAAUAUUCCUUUGAAUAUGCCACAAAACACAAUUUUUCUUUCAUUAUUGCAUGCAUCCAGCCUUUAUGGAUUAAAAAUGCCAAAUCGAAUGAAAACAACUUAAAAUCAUGAAAAAAAUGUAAAAUAAAAUUUGAUGUUUUAAGAAAAGGUGAUGUCCGUCGAUUGGGCCAACGAAAUCGACGUGUAGUCGUUGCCACAGCCGGUCCGGGAGAUGCCAUGAUUCCAGGGUUGCUUUCUUCGGAGCCUUCGCUGCUUCAGCACAUGCAUUGCACUGACGAACGAAUUGCGCCACAUCGUCGUCGACAUUCGGCCAGUAAAUGUAGCUGCGAGCCAGAGACUUCAUCCGCUCUAUUCUUGGGUGUCCACGAUGUAGCUGGCGGACGAUUCGCUUCCGGAAUUAUGAUGGAACGACGAUUCGAUCGCCGAACAUGACGCAGUUAUCGACGACUUGAAGUCCCUCACGUCUGACGAAGAACUUCUUCACAUCAGGAUCGGUGAUUAGCUUCACGCUCGCUGGCCAUCCUUCAUUGAGGUAACUAAUCACUUGUUGCAGAACAGCAUCCUUACGAGUCCUAGCUACAAUCAUGACAGCGCCAAGACCAUACUUCCAUGCGUCUGCCGCGACGAUGAUCUCCUUAGAUGGGUCAAAUCCAGUUCCAGCGAGCAUCCUUUUUUAGCUGGUCAUCCAGGGGAGCUCUGAGGUGCAUCAUCUGCGGAACGAAUCGACCAUAACAGUUGAUAGCUCCGAGAUAUGAGUAAAGUUGCUUCACGUUCUUCGGGGGUGGCAUCUUGGCAAUGGCUUCUGUUUUGGACGAGCCAGGCCGAACACCUUCCUUGUCCACGAUCAAUCCAAGAAAACCGCUCUGGGGAAGCGCGAAACGACAUUUUUCAAGACGUAAAUGGAAACCAUACUCACGGACGCGUUCUAGAACAGCAUAGAGGAUACCAUCGUGCUCCUCUUUGGUGCGACCAGCAAUUAAGAUAUCAUCAAGGUAGGGUGCCAGAAAUGCCAGCCACCAUGCUGCCAAUAAUGCGUUGGAAAGCGCCAGGUGCCGACUUGACUCCGGGAGGAAGUCGGUUGUAUUGGAAAAGGCCGCGAUGUGUGUUCACAGUAAGCAGCUUGCGCGAUUCUACCUCAACCUCAACUUGUAGAUAGGCGUUUGAUAAGU